CGUACCCAUUUUUUUGAUGUGGAAGUGAGAAGUCUAGCAGCACCUCCAACUCCAUGAAAUCAUUCGAAUGAGCAUCUGAGUCUUUAUUCCAAACUCCAAUACGCUUCAUGAGGUGGGGGAGAAUUUUCACAAAUGGUUCAAUUUCAAUAUGGACUUUGAUGUUAUUGUACGUCUUCAUGGAUGAAUUGAACACAAAAAACUGCUGCUUCUUUAUAUCGAGAACUCCCAGCAUCCAGUGAGUUUGUUGGUUGGCAAAAUAGGCAUCAACACAAUGUCCACAUCAGACCAUGGGGCGCUCAAUGGAAUGUGUGCACCUGUAAUGUCAUUUAGCAGGCUUGAAUCGUUUAGGACCACAUUUGUAUCUUGCUUGAAUUUAGGUUAGAUGUUCUUCAGCUUUGCCUGGAACAAAGAGUCCGUUGUGGUAGCAAUGUAUUUCACAUUUUAACCAUUUCUUGCCAACUGACGUAUGUAGUAGAAGCAAACAUUCAUAUGCUGUCACAAUGAACAGAUAGGUCAAAGCAACAAAUCCAGUAAUAGUGAAACAUGAGGUGCCAUUAGCAUAUGACAUGUACGUAAUGACAUUGUUCUUCUUCACACCCUG
rnacentral:lncRNA from 1 species